rnacentral:lncRNA from 1 species
CCUAAGUAAGAUAAGAAAGGGUACUUUAAAUUUUCUUUUUCUCAAACUUACUCCACAAUGUAUAACUCAUGAUGGUAAGUGGCCAACAAGUACAACCCGUAUAGUAUAAUCUCAAACAAAUGUAUGGCAAAAAUGAAGAAAUUUUCGAAUAAUUUACUCCAAUUCAUCAUAUUGUAACAUAGAGAAGGAUUAGAUUGCGUAUCAGUAUUAGCGUAACUUAUCAAAACAAAAUAAGCAGGUAUUCACAGAAAAUAUACCAAAGGACCAAUAUGGCAUAGGGGCAGGCCGACCAAUUAACUCUGUAUAUUGUUGUAUGACUGAAUCCGGCGAAGGUCCGGCGAAAAAAAAUAAAUCAAUAAUCCCUCCAAUAACCUUGUAAGUAAUCCUGUCACCAGUAUAAACGACAUCCAUGCCAUUGCUGUUAAGCAGCAGAACACCAUGAGUUGUCCCAUUGGGCGACCUCACAUCAAUGUAAAAAGGAUGAGAGCCAUAGAGAUUAACAUCAACAUUUACUGAGCCCACGUCAGCAUUCCACAAAGUUAGAGUGUCAUUGGGAGUCAACUUGAAUGAUUUCUUUGUGUGCUCUCCAAUUCCAUACAGAUGAGACCUUUCUAUUGGUAAUGCUGAAGAGAGUUGAAUGUAUUGAUCCUUAAACACCAAGAAAGUGUCAGAGUCUGAGGUUUCAGGUGAUGUGUCGAAAAGAAUGUCGCCGGAGGAUCGCCGUGUGACCGAGAAGCCAAAUGGCGUGGUGUUAUGGAGGGUGAAGACUAAGUCUGAGGUGGGGUCGGAGAGGAAGUGGUUUCCCGGCCCUCUUUGGUGGUUUACCGGUGAUUUUAGUCUGUUUUCCGGCAGCCAGCGGUGAGUGCAAUAGGAUUGGCGCGGGAUGAUUUCCUGCGGGAUUUCCCAUCUCUGUUUUUUGGAAUCUGUUAUUCGAACUCUCAAACGGUCUUUUGUCUCAAAGCUGAAGGGAAACAGAGCAUAAUGAGAUCAAUCAAUCUUAGAGUCACAAACCAGAAAUCAUCAAAUAUCACUAGCUUAUCGAAUUUAGAACUUGAAACAAGUCUUUCUCGCUGACUGCUUAGUCCAACAGUCAGUGAACAAUACAUAAAAGCAAGGAACAAUUAAGUUGUAAAUUUUAAAACCUGGCAAAAAGAUUGAGGCUCUGAAUAUCAGGUCCGUAAACAGAGGAGGACCUGAUGAGGCCAAGUCCAGCAGUCAACGACUUCAGUGAGUAGUCAACAGCGACUGAUCGAACAGAGUAGCCAUACCCAACUAAAUCUUUCUCUGCAGCUACAAAAAUGCAAUAGAGAAAUAAAAGUAAUAAUGAAAGAUGUUGAUGAUAAGAAGCAGCAGCAGAUUUUUCUGGUUUCUUCAUUUUUUCUAAGAUGAUAGAGUCCACUUAGCCCACGUUUCUUUUCAAACUUCGAAUUGGCACUGGGCACGUUUACACUUUGAGCUUGAAAUGGCCAAUUAUAACUCGUCUCUUAUUUUGACUUUUAUCUAUUAUCAGUUACCCAGACAGCCAAACAGUGGCGAAGCAAAGUUGACUAAAAUAGUUACGAGUGUUUAGAAUCUAAUCGGAACCGCCCAAUCAAUCUUAUCCGUAUAAAUCCGAUAUGUAAAAAUUUGAUUCGUGGAUUGGUAGAUUAGAUUGAAUUAAAAAUUUAAAAAUCCGCAGUUGGUGGAUUAAAUAUAGAUUUACUUCUGUAAAUCCGUAAAAAUUCGUAAAUCAGUAAAAAAAAUAAAAAAAGAUAUUUAUUUAAUAAAAAAAUUAAACUUGUAAAUAUGACAUUAUACUCACUAAUAAAUAAAUAAAUUAAAAUAUAAUUAAAUUAACAUCAUGUUAUGUCUUAUCCGAUAAUAAUAUAAAAUAAAAAUAAUUAAAUAAAAAUUAUAGCUUCCAGGCAAUUAAUUUUCAUGUACUGAUCUAAACAAAUGAAAUUUUUUUCUUUUUAGUGUGUUAUAUUCUGAAACUUUGAAUGUAUUUUUUAACUUUAUUUAAACAAUUAAUUUAUUUAAAUCUUAUUUAAUUUUAAAUUUGAUCGAUAGUAAAAUUAUUUUUAUAUUAAUUUUUUAUUUAGUUAGUUCGUGGAUAGGACGUGAUUAAAAAAUUUUAGCCUACAAACCAAUAUGUAAAAUGGUAGAUUGGGUUAAAACCGUAUCUGAUCUACAGACAUGUGGAUUGGAUUUGGAUUGAAUUUCACCAAUCCAUGGAUUGGAUUUGAUUAAAAAUUUAUAAUCCGCAAAAUCGUGGAUCAGAUAUGGAUUGAUAUCCAAUCCGUAAAAUUCGAUCCGUGAACACCCCUAAAAAUAGUUAUGAAAUCUUCAUUUUUAUGAUGCGUUUACUAUAUGGAAUGAGAAUGCGAUGAAAUGAGAAUGAGUUGGAAUAAGAAUGAGAUUCUAAUGUUUACUUACAAAAAAUAAAUGAGAAUGUGAAUGUGCAUGAUUGUCUUUAAUGUGUUUACUUAGCAAAAUAAAUGAGAAUGAGUAAUGAGAAUGAGAAUCAAUUUACCAAAAUACUCAUAGUAUUAAAUAAUGUAAUUUUCAUUAACUAGAUAUAUGUGUAAAUAUUAUUAUAAAAAUAAUUUUAAUUAAAAAAAUAAAAUUAAUAAUAAUAAUAAAUGUUAAUAAUGAUAAUAUUAAUAAAAAUAAUAAUACAAAUAAUUAAUAAUAACUAAAAUAAUAAAGUUAAUAAAAUUUAAUAAUAAUAAUAAAAAAAGAGUGAUGUUCUAAUGUUAUCUGAUUGUUGAUGACCAAAUUUUUUUAUCACAUAUAUAGUUUGCACAAAACCCGAAUGCAAAGUAUAUGUAUUUCCGAAAAUUAAAAAAAAAAAUUAAGCAUAUGUACUUUCUCUUAUUAUCUAGUAAAAGUUAUAUAACAAAAUGACACUUUGUCAAAAUUUAAAUUUCCUUUUUUCUUUUUAUAUAUUGUGUACAAUAUAACUAUGAGGGUAAGUAUAAAUCACAACUAAAAUUUAAUGCAAAAGUCCAUAUAAAUAUAUAAAUAUAUAAAGAGAAACGCAAUAUAUAAAAUUGUAGAAGCUCAUAAAUUUUGACAAUUACAUGUUGGAGAGAUUUAAAUAACGCUCCACCUUAAGAUAAGAAAAAGAGGUGUCGAUGAAUUUAUUUUAAAAUAUUUAUAAUUUUAUCUAAUGCCUUUAUUAAAAAAUAAAAAUUUCAAACUUUGAAAUGAAAAUAAAGGUUAAUGAAAGAUAUUCAUGAUUUUUCAGCAGAAAUUAAAGAUGUAAAUUUAUGAUUUCUAUGCUAAAAUGUAAAUUGAUUUCUUAAAACAAAGUUUGUAUUAGGCUUGGGCAAGAUUUAUGAUGGAUAAUGUAUGUUCUGGCCUUUUCAAGUUUUUUUUUUUUUUUUAUAUUUUAUUUUAUGACUAGAGCUUUCAUAGUAAUUAGCAAAUAUACAUACAUACAUACAUAUAUAUUAGGGAUGUUUUGGUACCAUAGUAAUGAAAUAAUUACUCAAACCAAAAAUUUAUUACAUUUUAGGUUAAAAACCUACCAGUUUAAAUAAAAAAUAACAAACAAAAUGCUCCCCCGCCACCCCCCCACCCGCCAAAUAUAUAUAUGUAUAUAUAUAUACAUACAUACAUUAUAUAUUUUAGAAUAUGUGUCGGAGAGGAAAAGGGAGCUAAAGAUUAGGUAAAAAAUAGGUAGUGAAAGUUAACCGGCAAGACACUUCUUAGGUUACCUCAAAAGCUAGCAUUUUUUUUUUACUAUAAUUUGGACGAUUAUAUCAAAAAUGUUUCGUAUAAUUCGUACAUAAGAAUAGAUCAUUUCACCACAAAUCAUAGUUUAUAAUUUUAUAUCGAUUAGUGUAUACUGUGAUACAUAUUACUUACUCAUUGUAAGAUAUUACGACAAACUUUAGUGUUCAGUGAAUUAUUUUGAGGGAAAAUAUAAAGGGAUUAUGCCUUUGAUCUGAGAAAUGGUAACCAAUUUGGGAACGAACAAAAGAAACCGAUGAGCAUAGGGGAUGGGUUUUUCCAGCGACGGAUACUGAGGAACCAGGAGCUGAGCCUGACCCCUUGAAUGGAGCCAAAACUAUAAGAGGCCUGUAUGAGCUCGCAAGUACAAACUACUCAAGGAAGUUCACUGUCCCUUUAUGUUCACUUAACUAGUGAUCUUCAUUUGAAUAUUGCUCUCUAUGUUUGCAUGUGCUAACUUACUUGAGUGGUUUUGUUCUAUACUAGGUACUGUGGGAAAAGAAGUUGAAGACGAUUGUUAAUAAUGAGAGUGCGGAGAUAAUCCGCAUGUUGAAUACUGAAUUCAAUGAUAUAGCUGAAAAUGCUUCUCUGGAUCUGUAUCCAUCUGAUCAGCGAGAUCAAAUUGAUGGGACUAAUGAACGGAUAUACAAUGGGAUAAACAAUGGUGUUUAUCGAUGUGGGUUUGCAACAAAGCAAGGACCUUAUGAUGAAGUAAGUCAUUUUCUCGCCGCAGUAGUAUUCAUUUCUAGAAAUGAUUUCGUUAUUCACACCUCUGCCAUUUGCCGUGUCAUUAAGAGUGUACGUUGAUUCUUUCUGCAGGCUGUUAGGCAGCUGUACGAAGCAUUGGACAAAUGUGAAGAGAUACUUGGCAAGCAACGAUACAUUUGUGGAAACAGGCUGACUGAAGCAGAUAUUCGGUUGUUUGUCACGCUUAUAAGAUUUGAUGAGGUAUCCAUAUUGGAUUUUAACCUGUUCUGCAGCAGCUCCAUUUUUGUUCACUCUGUUUUUUACCUUUCUUAUCACUAUUUUGGGUAGCCAAAAGGCAUAUAUUAACCCUACCUUUUAAUGGUGAUGACAUCUCUAGAAGUUUGCAACCUAAUUCCGUGGUCUUUAGUGUUUGAUGUAGGAGAAUGCAGUAAAAUUGUUCAUAUUGGCACAAAACUGUUAUGAUGUUCUUCAAAUCGGUGUAGUUUAUUAGAAAUUGUUUUAGCAUAUGGACAUAACCGGGACACAAAACCAGUAUGCAAGUAUUAUUGACUUCUUUUUUUAGGAUUUUUGGAUUGUCAUCGCUCACAAUUUGGCUCAACGGGAGAAAUAAACUGAUAUUUGGAAUCAGAGUUUUUCACAAAUUUUAUCUUUCAUUAUAUGCAUCUGAUAUUUGGAGGUAAUAUUUCCAAAAUUAAAUAGAAUGUUCCAGGCAGCAAUAUCUGUGUUUAUUGUGAAGAUGGUAUAUGAGUGAACUGUGGUUCCCUUUUUCUUAUUAAACUACACUUAUUUGUAGGUCUGCUCACACACACACACACAUAUUCUGAAUGGAGGAAUGCAAUAAUUAGUGCUAAAUCAGGCAACUGAUAAGAUCUCUUAGUUUACUAAAACUAUAGCUAUGUAAAGUUGAAUUGUAAAUCAGAACAUCUUGAGACAGAUCUUAUCACUACAUUUUUUGUUUGCUAGUUUGCUUUGAACUUAAUAGUACUCUUUAGCACUUGCUGUAGUUUGUCUGUUCAUGCAUCUCAAGGAUUUGAGUCCGUUAUGCUAACAGGUUUAUGCAGUUCACUUCAAGUGCAACAAGAAACUAUUACGAGAAUAUCCAAAUCUGUUCAACUACACCAAAGACAUAUAUCAGAUUCCCAGCAUGUCUAGCACUGUGAAUAUGCAACACAUCAAGCGGCAUUACUAUGGAAGCCAUCCUUCUAUCAAUCCAUAUGGGAUCAUCCCUCUUGGCCUUGAUAUCGAUUAUUCUUCACCCCAUGACAGAGAAAAUUUUUCUGCAUAAUUUCCAUAUUUCUACAGUGCCUAAGAUGAGCUUGGUCAUUGUUUAUAAAAGCAUUUACUGUUUAGACUGUCAGUCGAGAUGUGUAUAUAUUCUGUGUGUGAUGUUAUUGUUGAUGCUGAAAUCUGAACCAGUUGGUUAGUGACUCAAUAUCAGAUUCCUGCAUCAGCAUUAAAUUUGUUUGGUGGGAAGCUGCUGGUUGAUCUCCAAGAAUAUUCUCUGACUAUGAGCAGAACAUUCAUGAGCAUAUAAUCUUCAAGCCGAUGAUCAAUGAGUACCUGAAAUUACAGAGAAUGGUCAGAGGUGCCAGAAGUUUUUCCGGCGUAAACCCUCCGACGCCCAAGUCAGUUAUGGGGUUUACAGGAAAAACCAAAUAUGUCAUUUCUUAUAUGGCUUAAUAAACAUUGCCUUAAAACCAAAAGCCUUUUGAAUAAUUUGCAGAAAAGUAAAGUCGAAUAUCCAGAAAGAAUUUCUUAGUGAGAUCAAGAGAAAAAGAGCCCCCCGCGGCAUGGUUUUCUCGGGGUUUUUAUAAACACCCCACACCCACGACCUUAGAUCGUGACAAUAACCAUUGAUUGAUCAAAUUCGUGCUCUGAUUUUUCGGAGGAGCUUUGUGGUGGUUUAUUUUAACUGAGUCUUGAUUCUUGGUCAUCACCUGGUCGAGGUGAUCUGCUCAAGCUCAUACCACCUGGUCGAGGUGAUCUGCUCAAGCUCAUAGCACAUGGUCGAGGUGAUCUGCUCAAGCUCAUAACACUUGGUUGAUGUGAUCUCCUCAAGCUCAUAGCACCUGGUCGAGGUGGUCUGCUCAAGCACAUACCACCUGGUCAAGGUGAUCUGCUCAACCUCAUAGCACUUGGUUGAGGUGAUCUCCUCAAGCUCAUAGCACCUGGUCGAGGUGGUCUGCUCAAGCUCAUACCACCUGGUCAAGGUGGUCUGCUCAAGCUCAUACCACCUGGUCGAGGUGGUCUGCUCAAGCUCAUACCACAUGGUCAUCAGCUCAAGCUCAUACCACCUGGUCAAGGUGAUCUGCUCAACCUCAUAGUACCUGAUCGAGGUGGUCUGCUCAACCAUUUGCUCACUUUCACUUGAAGGAGAUCAUGGUCGCUCUAUUUAAUUCCUCAAACACCAGUCCCCCAGUUUCUAGUGUUGAGAGUAAAAUGAAUCAAGACUGGAAACUAUAGAGUUUAUAAUUUUUUACAAACUUAGAGCCUUAAGCAACUUAUUUUACUUCCUCUGCUGACCACGCCAUGGGUGAGCAAGUAUCAUCAAUUUAAGGUUUUAUGACUUAUCUAGAGCAUGUUUCAAGACUUUUAACCUUUAACUGACUUAAGCAAUUUUAAGUUACUCUUAUCGGUUUAAGAUCUUAUGCCUUACCUAGAAUAGGCUUUAAGGCUUCUAACCUUGCACUUUAAUCUUUUACUAACUUAAACAAUUUUAAACAAGAAAAUAAAAAGAAUGAUUUUUUUUUUCAAUUGCAUCUAUUUUAUUUAAAGUCAUACAUAAUCCAAUUCAAUAAAAAAAGAUUGAAGCAAAACUCGAACUGUGAUGUGUAUGUUAUCGAUUCAUAGACUGAUUUUUCGAGGAAGCAUGCCCAAUCAAAGAAUUAAUCAGGGAUCUGGAUUUAUGUCCAUAUAUGAUACCGUUAUCAUGCUUAACAGUCAAUAAAUGUACACUCUUGUCAAAGCAAGUAAAUGACUUAUUGUACAACACUAAUAACAAGAAUAUGGACCUCAUACCGUUGCAUGUGAGAUUUCAUGAAUAAUCAUGCAAAAGAAUCAGAAAUUCUAGAUAAACGUAUGACUUGACGACCAAAUUGAAGCUUGAUUAAGAGCUAAGUGAGUUUACCGAUCUAAUUCCGAGUAUUUUUCAGUAGACUCCUGAGCUCUUUCUGAAUCCCGAGGUGCCUCUGGACAUGGCACUGACAACAAUUUAAGGCAACGGAUUUGUUUAAUUUCUUGCGGUCAUUUUGUCGAACGUCUUCUGUGUGUUAUUUUGCAUCACUACUUCUAAAAAUCCUCUCUAAUAACUUGUUUCAAAAAUUACAAACUCCACAUCUCUGCAUCCAAUCAGUAAUUAAAUCCUCAUUCCAAAUGUUUUAAUCCAUCAUAAUCAUGCUGAAACCAUGGCAUAAUACAAUUGUAAAAGUGGAUGAGAUCUUAGCAUCUAAACUUGGAACUUAUGCAAAACUUUAAUGGCAAGCACAUGACCAAAAGUUGCCUAUACAGCAAUAAGCAUGUGGGCACUAGUUUGUGAUAUGAUUUCAUAUAUUCAAUAUAUGUUUAUUUUAAACUUGUGCUCUGUAAUCAAUUUCUCAUGCUCACGUAAAUGAAAUCAUAAAUUGGAACGGUGAGAAGCACACUGAACUUCUUCAAUUAGUAUCAUGUUAAUCCACAGAUUUUACUAUAUUCAUGCAUAUAAAUUAAGCAAACUCAAACUAAUUGUUCCAUUUGAUUUUCUACUGUGGAAUAGAUCAACUGUAAUUCAGUCCCACCAAUCAAGAAAACCAAGGCGAUUGCAUGACUUUCAUUGACUAAGUGCAUUGACUAAAUGCAUGCAUGCUUGUUUAAUCGGUCAACAUGCUUAAAUUGACCAAAUUUACGAUUUAAACAAACAGCUCUUGGAAUGGCACAAUUGAAUCCGAGAAUUAAAAUAAAAUCAAUCAUCAUUAGACUCAUGGAGAAAUAAAUUUAAGCAAUACCAAGACUGUGAGAUACGAAAUUGAUCAUUCAAUACAAUAAAUCACGCAUAUAGAUAAGUAAAUUGAAGGCAAUUACCGAUUUGAAGCUUGCAAACAUCAAAAUUAUGUUACUUAUUAACGAUUAAUUGGAUUUUCUUUGGUGGAUUCGAAACUAAAAUAGAACUUGCUCUGAUUCGUGCAUGAUAAUAUCCAGCCUUCGCCAUGAUAGAGAUAAAAGUUUGGCUUUUUGUAGCGUUUCCCCACAGACGGCACCAAAUGUUGAUGCUGAAAUCUGAACCAGUUGGUUAGUGACUCAAUAUCAGAUCCCUGCAUCAGCAUUAAAUUUGUUUGGUGGGAAGCUGCUGGUUGAUCUCCAAGAAUAUUCUCUGACUAUGAGCAGAGCAUUCAUGAGCAUAUAAUCUUCAAGUCGAUGAUCAAUGAGUACCUGAAAUUACAAAGAAUGGUCAGAGGUGCUGAAAGUUUUUCCGGCGUAAACCCUCCGACGCCCAAAUCAGUUAUGGGGUUUACAGGAAAAACCAAAUAUGCCAUUGCUUAUAUGGCUUAAUAAACAUUGCCUUAAAACCAAAAGCCUUUUGAAUAAUUUGCAGAAAAGUAAAGUCGAAUAUCCAGAAAGAAUUUCUCAGUGAGAUUAAGAGAAAAAGAGCCACCCGCGGCAUGAUUUUCUCGGGGUUUUUAUAAACACCCCACACCCACGACCUUAGAUCGUGACAACAACCAUUGAUUGAUCAAAUUCGUGCUCUGAUUUUUCGGAUGAGCUUUGUGGUGGUUUAUUUUAACUGAGUCUUGAUUCCUGGUCAUCACCUGGUCGAGGUGAUCUGCUCAAGCUCAUAGCACAUGGUCGAGGUGAUCUGCUCAAGCUCAUAACACUUGGUCGAGGUGAUCUCCUCAAGCUCAUAGCACCUGGUCGAGGUGGUCUGCUCAAGCACAUACCACCUGGUCAAGGUGAUCUGCUCAACCUCAUAGUACUUGGUCGAGGUGAUCUCCUCAAGCUCAUAGCACCUGGUCGAGGUGGUCUGCUCAAGCUCAUACCACAUGGUCAUCAGCUCAAGCUCAUACCACCUGGUCAAGGUGAUCUGCUCAACCUCAUAGUACCUGAUCGAGGUGAUCUGCUCAACUUUAUAGUACCUGAUCGAGGUGAUCUGCUCAACCAUUUGCUCACUUUCACUUGGAGGAGAUCAUGGUCGCUCUAUUUAAUUCCUCAAACAGUUAUUAAAUAAAUUUAUUGUGAAUGCUCUCUCUUGAGAAACUUCGUAAAUAAAUUUCAGGGACCAGAGGCUUACUGGAUUUACUAAAGUAUGGGACAUUGCAUUUUGAGAGAAACUGGGAUGAUUUUUUUCCCCUAAGAAAUUCUAUGAAUGGUGUAUAUUAAGUAAAUAAAAGCACUAGGUCGGCUAUGCUACUAAUCUCCACCCCGGCAUGGAUCACCUCGGCCAAAUAGUACGAGCAGAACACGGGGACAAGCAUGAACCGAUCAUAGGCGAUUACCAACCAGAGGUAUAUACCGAGCCGGUACCCGUCCCCCAAAAAAGCGGGAACACGAUCCCACAGAAUCGCGGUAGUUGCGCUGUUUCCAGAACCGUUGCGGGAGAUGCGAAAUCCCACAUUUGCCCAUAAUGCAGCGGUUAGAGUUCCGGGAGGGGCUGCCACUACCCGAAAAAGGUAGGGUGAAGGGCAAAUGGGAACGUGGGGACAACGGCUAUAAAAGAGAAAGAAAUCGAUGAAGAAGUGGAUAAAAAAAAAAAGAAGAGAGAGGGAAAACGCUGCCAAAUUGCAACCAGGCCAUUUCCUUACAAAUUUCUAAUAAACUUCUGGAAUCCAAAUUACAUUGUUUUCCCGUAAACACCUUGUGCUAACUUAGGCAUCGGAGGGUUUACGCCGGCAAAACCACCGGCGUCUCUGAUCCGUUUUUAGUGAGUGCAUGUCUAUUGAGAAAAAGGAGGACGAUUCCAAUCCCAGUGAACGAGCAACAGUAGAUAACACAAACGUUGGUGAAAGAAUCUAGUCGGUCAAGAGGCGAGCAGAUUUCAGCAUCAACAGUGUAUCUGAAAGAUUAUUGCGAUUUUGUAUUGAUCUUGAUUUUUGUGUGGCCGAAAGCAUUGUAGAAGCCAUCUUUGGUCGUGUGGUCGAAGCUUAGCUCGACUUCUUAUUUUCUCAUUUAUAUAGUUAGUUGGAUCAGUACAUAUAGUGGACGUGUGCAUUGGCAGGUCGCACCUACUUAGAAUGAGAAUUAAUCACCUUUUAAUUUUCUAAUUUCUUAAAAAAAUCUUAAUCAAUUCUUAUGAGUACUUUAGUUAAUUAAGCUUCAUAAGAAUUUACAUUCCCCACCUUAGAUCCCAUAAAGGCAGAGAUGGAAAACGGCAAGAAAAAGAUAGAGAUCAAGAAAAUAGAAAAUGCAAAGUCAAGAAUGGUCACCUUCUCAAACAGAGGUCAACGUCUCUUUCAGAAAGCUCUUCAUUACACCACCUACACUAACUCUCUUGUUGCUCGUCUCCUUAUCUCACUCGCCGGAAAAACCCUUCAUUCCCGGCUUUCCUCCCUUGGACACCGUCAUAGACAAGUACUUAAAACGACAGUGGAGAAAGUAGUAACGUGGGUGCAAGUGAUGCUAGAAGAGAAGGUGAUGAAGGCAUCUGAAAGUGUGGAGUGAGGAAUGUGAAGAAAGUAUUGGAGGAGGUGAGGGACGGAGCGAUUAAGAGGGCAGAGGAUAAAUUGAUACACUCAUUUGCAAACUAAAUUGAUACAAAUAUUUUGUCUCCGACAAGUCAGAGGCAGAGGAUAUGAUUCACAAAUUAAUUCUAGUACAAUACUCAGUGUCAGUGAGCAUAUAUUGAAUCUCUGCUUAGUUUGCAUUAUUGUUUGCCAGUAAUAUUUGUCUCUCUAACAGCUCUCUGACUACUUGGUGAGUUCCAGGUCCAACUUGAACUCCUCUCCAAUGAGUAGUGAUAGCUUUGAAAUCUCUACUGUAAGAAAUUGUGCAUUACUGUUUACACUUGCCUUAAUCACUGAGGAGUUCUUGAUCAACUUUCUUCCUGUGCAAGUCUUCAACUUAUAACCCUUCAAUCUUUUAAACUUUUCCAGUCCUAUAAAAGUCACUUUGUCUAUGAUCCACUUCUGACCCAAAGCAAAAUCUCCAUUCAGAACCUCUGAUCUAAUAUUAACAUUACUUUUUAUCAUUUGGCUAUAAAACCGCACGAAACUCCACUUGCCUGCCUCUUUCCCCAUCUCCACUUCUUCUCCAUCAUCCAGGAAAACUUCGCCAGUGCUAGUUUCCUUGCUGCUGACAACUACUAAAAGUUGGAAUGGUGUCUUACGUGCAGCUUUAGUUGUCAUGGCCUCUCCUUGCAAGGCCAAAAUGUUACCUUCCCGAACAUGUACGUUUAUAUGAUCAGGUGGUGCGUCAAGUGUUAUUUGCUUUCCCAAGUUUAGAGACACUGAAUUUGAGUAGUUGAAAAGAUCAAACCAGUUUCCACUGGGGAAGUAUGCAUCCACUGAAACUGCUCCCGACUUCAAUACAGGUGACACCAUAACACCUUUGCCAAUAAGAAAUUGUGUAUCUAUUCUGUAAGUUUUUACAUCAUGGGGAAAUGAGAAGAACAUUGGUCGUGCAACGGGGGUCCCUUUCAUAUGUGCUUCAUACAUUAGUGUGUAAAAGUAUGGGAGUAGCCUGUGUCGAAGCCCGAGCACUUUCCUGGCUGUUGCAGCAACCGUGUCCCAGAGGUAGAGUUCCUGCCGGAUCGUACCAAUACAAGAGUGAUCUCUUGCGAAGGGGUAAAAAGCCCCUAGCUGCAUUUUGAAAAUAUUUUGACAUUAGCUUCAUAAACACUUCAUAAGACAACUAAAUUAAUAAAAAUCUACUUUCACUGCAAUAGCAAUAGGACUGCUCAUAGAAAUGGUCUUUUUUGGUACAUUUUCCAUUGUGUUUAUAGUGUCAGAAUAUAAUACAUUAGAAUCUCUGAAAAUCUAAACAUAGUUUUAGAGUCUUACUUGAAUCCACCGUCGGCAGAGUUCUUCAGUUGUGUUACCAAAAAAGCCACAAAUAUCAGCUCCAACCAUUGGGAUUCCAAAGAGUCCAAAAUUUAAGAUGGAUGGAAUUGAGUACGCUAAAUCAUUCCAUGUGGCAGCAUUAUCUCCAGUCCAAUGUGCUGUGUAUUUUCCAGAGCCAACAAAGGUUGAUCUGGAAAGUAUAAAUGGUCUUUUACCGUUAACAUUGAUCAAAGCUGCAUGAGUAGCUUUGGCUUCCAGGAGUCCAUAUAGGUUAUGAGUGUUAUAUUCUGUAAGGUUUCUAUAAUGUAGAGCUGUUGCUGGAACAGUUAUAUUGUUAAUUGGUCGUCGUGUUCCAUUAUUAUUAAUCUUGUAGGGAGGAUCAUCAAGGGUUGAAUGUGGCGUGGGAAGGGAAGUAAUGAAAUUAGAUAAUUCAUUCAUAUCAAGCCAAAGACCAUCCAUAGGAAGAAUAUCUCGAAACAAUUGGAUCUCACCUUUCCAAAAGGUUUCAGCAGCAGGAUUUACAAAAUCAGGAUAAUAGACUUUUCCAGGCCAACCUUCUCCCAGGUAAGGGACGCCGUCACGUUUUAUAAAGAUAUCAGCCUUUAAUCCUCUAAUGAAGGUUCCGUAAGUCUCAUUCACAUUGAUACCUGCAGGAAAGGCACAACAAUACGUUUACUAUUGUGAAAAAUGAGCUCUAAUCAGGUUUAUUGAUCGACACGAUAAAUUAACUGAAAAAAAUGUUUCUGCGGUGAGAUAAUUCGUUGUCUAUAACUACAUACCAGGAUCCAAGAUGAGCACAUAUCUCUGUCCAUUUUGAUGGAGCGUAUUUACAAAAUUUUGCAUUGAGUUCACUGGAAAGUUGAUGGGAUCCAGAGUGAAAUCCUUAUAUCCAUCCAUGUAAUCAAUAUCUGUCCACAUAACUUCAAGAGGGAUGCCAGCUUUUGCAUAGCCAGCAACCACAGCUUUAAGAUCAGACACGUUUUCAUAUCCAUAUCGACACUGAUGAAAUCCUGUGCAUUAAGACACCGUGAAAAUCAAAUUGGGAAGAACGAAAUAAUUGGUCGUGCCAUCACCUUUGCUUAGCUCUCAAUCUAGCUUAGAAGAGUUAUACACCAAGAAAAUAAACAAAACUCAAGGUAGAUAGAAGAAUCCUUCAGAAUGAAUAACUUAUCAAAGCUAGUAAAUCAAAUUGUGGUGACUCUAUAUCUGAUUCGCUAAUAAGCUGACUGAGGUGCUGUAAUUUUUAAGUUAUAAUGAUUGUGAUUAUGAAAUAAAAAUUAAAAGUAUGUAGUAAAUAACCAUUUUGACAAAAAUAAUUAAGGUAUUUUAGGUUUUUCAUUAUACAAGCGGCGUAUUAAAUUAACUUAACUUCCAAGCCACAACAGCUAAUAUUUACCAAAUAUUUUAGUGUUGUAACUUUUAACCUAUAGUUACCUGACCACAAUGCCAGACAGGCCUGAGUAAGAUAAGAAAUGAUACUUUAAAUUUCUUUUUCUCAAACUUACUCUACAAUAUAUAACUCAUGGCGGCAAGUGGCCAACAAGUACAACCCGUAUAGUAUGAUCUCAAACAAAUGUAUGGCAAAUAUGAAGAAAUUUUCGAAUAAUUUACUCCAAUUCAUCAUAUUGCAACAUAGAGAAGGAUUAGAUUGCGUAUCAGUAUUAGCGCAACUUAUCAAAACAAAGUAAGCAGGUAUUCACAGAAAAAUAUACCAAAGGACCAAUAUGGCAUAGGGGCAGGCCGACCAAUUAACUCCGUAUAUUGUUGUAUGACUGAAUCCGGCGAAGGUCCGGGAAAAAAAUACAAAUCAAUAAUCCCUCCAAUAACCUUGUAAGUAAUCCUGUCACCAGUAUAAACGACAUCCAUGCCAUUGCUGUUAAGAAGCAGAACACCAUGUGUUGUCCCAUUGGGCGACCUCACAUCAAUAUAA